rnacentral:rRNA from 1 species
AGGCCGAAAGGCGUAGUCGAUGGGAAACGGGUUAAUAUUCCCGUACUUGGUGUUACUGCGAAGGGGGGACGGAGAAGGCUAUGUUGGCCGGGCGACGGUUGUCCCGGUUUAAGCGUGCAGGUGUGUGUUCCAGGUAAAUCCGGUUCACUUUAACACUGAGGCGUGAUGACGAGGCACCACGGUGCUGAAGCAACAAAUGCCCUGCUUCCAGGAAAAGCCUCUAAGCCUCAGGUAACAUCAAAUCGUACCCCAAACCGACACAGGUGGUCAGGUAGAGAAUACCAAGGCGCUUGAGAGAACUCGGGUGAAGGAACUAGGCAAAAUGGUGCCGUAACUUCGGGAGAAGGCACGCUGACACGUAGGUGAAGUGGUUUACCCAUGGAGCUGAAGUCAGUCGAAGAUACCAGCUGGCUGCAACUGUUUAUUAAAAACACAGCACUGUGCAAACACGAAAGUGGACGUAUACGGUGUGACGCCUGCCCGGUGCCGGAAGGUUAAUUGAUGGGGUCAGCGCAAGCGAAGCUCCUGAUCGAAGCCCCGGUAAACGGCGGCCGUAACUAUAACGGUCCUAAGGUAGCGAAAUUCCUUGUCGGGUAAGUUCCGACCUGCACGAAUGGCGUAAUGAUGGCCAGGCUGUCUCCACCCGGGACUCAGUGAAAUUGAACUCGCUGUGAAGAUGCAGUGUACCCGCGGCAAGACGGAAAGACCCCGUGAACCUUUACUAUAGCUUGACACUGAACACUGGUCCUUGAUGUGCAGGAUAGGUGGGAGGCUUUGAAGUGUGGACGCCAGUCUGCAUGGAGCCAUCCUUGAAAUACCACCCUUUAAUGGCUGGUGUUCUAACGUGGGCCCGUGAACCGGGUUGCGGACAGUGUCUGGUGGGUAGUUUGACUGGGGCGGUCUCCUCCUAAAGAGUAACGGAGGAGCACGAAGGUUGGCUAAUCCUGGUCGGACAUCAGGAGGUUAGUGCAAUGGCAUAAGCCAGCUUGACUGCGAGCGUGACGGCGCGAGCAGGUGCGAAAGCAGGUCAUAGUGAUCCGGUGGUUCUGAAUGGAAGGGCCAUCGCUCAACGGAUAAAAGGUACUCCGGGGAUAACAGGCUGAUACCGCCCAAGAGUUCAUAUCGACGGCGGUGUUUGGCACCUCGAUGUCGGCUCAUCACAUCCUGGGGCUGAAGUAGGUCCCAAGGGUAUGGCUGUUCGCCAUUUAAAGUGGUACGCGAGCUGGGUUUAGAACGUCGUGAGACAGUUCGGUCCCUAUCUGCCGUGGGCGCUGGAAGAUUGAGGGGGGCUGCUCCUAGUACGAGAGGACCGGAGUGGACGCAUCACUGGUGUU